rnacentral:rRNA from 1 species
GACGAACGCUGGCGGCGUGCUUAACACAUGCAAGUCGAACGGAAAGGCCCUGCUUUUGUGGGGUGCUCGAGUGGCGAACGGGUGAGUAACACGUGAGUAACCUGCCCUUGACUUUGGGAUAACUUCAGGAAACUGGGGCUAAUACCGGAUAGGAGCUCCUGCUGCAUGGUGGGGGUUGGAAAGUUUCGGCGGUUGGGGAUGGACUCGCGGCUUAUCAGCUUGUUGGUGGGGUAGUGGCUUACCAAGGCUUUGACGGGUAGCCGGCCUGAGAGGGUGACCGGCCACAUUGGGACUGAGAUACGGCCCAGACUCCUACGGGAGGCAGCAGUGGGGAAUAUUGCACAAUGGGCGGAAGCCUGAUGCAGCAACGCCGCGUGCGGGAUGACGGCCUUCGGGUUGUAAACCGCUUUCGCCUGUGACGAAGCGUGAGUGACGGUAAUGGGUAAAGAAGCAUCGGCUAACUACGUG